rnacentral:rRNA from 1 species
GACGAACGCUGGCGGCGUGCUUAACACAUGCAAGUCGACGACGCUACUGAGUAGCAAUAUUUAGUAGUGGAGUGGCGCAAGGGUGAGUAAUGUAUACGUAACCAACCCAUCGGAGACGAUAACAUUUCGAAAGGGAUGCUAAAACGGCAUGAAGCCACGAUUUCGCAUGAGAUUGUGGUUAAAGAACCGGUAACAGGUUGCCGAUGGCUGGGCGUAUAUCCGAUUAGCUAGUUGGUAGUGUAAUGGACUACCAAGGCGACGAUCGGUAGCUGGUCUGAGAGGAUGAUCAGCCACACUGGCACUGAGACACGGGCCAGACUCCUACGGGAGGCAGCAGUGGGGAAUAUUGGGCAAUGCCCGCAAGGGUGACCCAGCAACGCCGCGUGGAGGAUGAAGGCCGUAAGGUUGUAAACUCUGACAAGCAGGGAAGAACGGCUAUGGUAAAAGGCCAUAGAAUGACGGUACCUGCCUGAAGCCCCGGCUAACUACGUG